GCGGAUGUAGAGAAUAAGGAGACUCUGGCUUUAGCGGCGGACGAUGUUCUGCUAGUAGAGAUGGCUAGGAAAGGGAAACUGGUGGUGGUGGGUUUGGGUUUAGGGGUUUGUGGGAGUGGAGAGUAGGGGGAUUUGGAGAGAGAGUUAGUGAGUGUAGCCAUUGGAACUUAACUGGAGGAGUCUGAGUUAAGUUUCAGGGGAUUGUUGUGAAUCAGGAUGAGGAUGGAUGGAGGAGUGAGAGAGCUUAGAGGAAUUAUCCAUGGGGAAAAAUCUUGAGGGGCCAACAAUGAUGUCCACUCGUUUUGGGUUUGUGACCCGUAGUUAUCCACUGACCACAAUUUUUCGUUUGAUUUAUCUAGUUUCUCCAUUUAAGAUUUUUUUUUCUUUCUCAAAAUACAAAUAAUGGUCGUUUACUAGGAAAAUUCCAAUGAUGAUUAUUGAUAUUAUGCAAACAGAUUUCGGUGACGAGCUGAUGAUACUUUUUCUUCCUCCUUGUCUGUCUUUGGAUUCUGUCGCCGGCUCCCAAUCUCCGCCAACGUUCACAUUCCACCCAUUCGGAGCUUAGCUCCCCAAGAACCAUCUUCGAUUCAGGAGUCGAGGCGGGUUUCCCUCCUAGCUCGAAAACAUGAACGGCCGCAAGCGGGGGGGUCCUCCCCUCUUCUCUCCCCUCUCUUUUUUCCAGGGCGUACCACCCUUCCUUCACUGCAACCAGGAAAGGGUACAUUCUAUUGCUCUGCACGCUCGUACUGGCGGCGAAUUCCACCACUACCAGCUUGUUCUUUGCAGCCUUAAGCGCGUCGUCCAACUCCUCCGCGCUGUGGAUCUUUUGGACCCUCUCGCCGUCAUCCUUCGCCGGCGUCUUCUCCGACGUCCCCGGAGCAGCACCGGCCGUUGCUUUAGUGACGAAUAGAGUUCGUUCUUUUGCGGCGGCGGCGGAUGUAGAGAAUAAGGAGACUCUGGCUUUAGCGGCG
rnacentral:lncRNA from 1 species